CCUACGGGAGGCAGCAGUGGGGAAUAUUGGACAAUGGGCGAAAGCCUGAUCCAGCAAUGCCGCGUGAGUGAUGAAGGCCUUCGGGUCGUAAAGCUCUUUUACCAGGGAUGAUAAUGACAGUACCUGGAGAAUAAGCUCCGGCUAACUCCGUGCCAGCAGCCGCGGUAAUACGGAGGGAGCUAGCGUUGUUCGGAAUUACUGGGCGUAAAGAGUACGUAGGCGGUUAUUCAAGUCAGAGGUGAAAGCCCGGGGCUCAACCCCGGAACUGCCUUUGAAACUAGAUAACUAGAGUCUUGGAGAGGUUAGUGGAAUUCCGAGUGUAGAGGUGAAAUUCGUAGAUAUUCGGAAGAACACCAGUGGCGAAGGCGACUAACUGGACAAGUACUGACGCUGAGGUACGAAAGCGUGGGGAGCAAACAGGAUUAGAUACCCUGGUAGUCCACGCCGUAAACGAUGAUAACUAGUUGUUCGGUCACUUGGUGACUGAGUGACGCAGCUAACGCAUUAAGUUAUCCGCCUGGGGAUACGGUCGCAAGAUUAAAACUUAAAGGAAUUGACGGCUGNGAAGUGCGAGNGACACGAGGAGAG
rnacentral:rRNA from 1 species